rnacentral:misc_RNA from 1 species
GCCUAUGCUAACCCAGUGUAUGGGUACUGUCAUAGGCUCUGAUGAUAUUACAUAUCUCUGCAAAAAAUUUUGUUCAUGGAUUUAUGACAUUGUAUUUGUUUUUAUGUAUGUGUAUCAAGAGUUUGGCUGAACAGUUGUAUAGCUUUCCAUCUAAAAAUUAGAGCAAGUGCUAUUUAUAUUGAGUGCUUAUACUUAAGUGCUGUAAUUUAAUUUGAUUUUAAAAUUAUCUACCAUCAAUUAUGGAUUGUGCAAAUUGAUUAGGUCACCAGGUCAUCUACGAGAGCAGAUUCCUGGUAGGAUAAUUUAUCUCAUAUUAUCAGGGUCUGGAUCUGUGUUAGUAAUUUAUUGUUCCCCUACAUGUAAAUAACCAAUACAUAGACAAUAAUCCAUUGAUUGAUAUGAACUAACAGUUAUUGCUUUAUCAAUAAUAUUACGUGGGCGUUAUUUAAAAACAUUCUAGGAAAAUUAAAUGUAGAAAAAAAUUGUGAUACCUUUAUAUGUGUAAAUUACCUUCACUCAUUUAAGAUAAUAUAUUGAAGUCUAAGAAUAAAUAAUGAAAUGC